GUUUUGGAAUUAGCUUCGUUCAUGAGGAAGUUUGAAUGCUAAGUAGUUGCGAAGAUAGAACAUUGCAUUAUUGGAAAUUUGAAUGUUUUCUUAGUUUUAACAGCCUCUUUUAAUUGCUUGGAACUGAGAAUUUGAAUUCUGCUGCCACUUUUUCUUCUCGGAGUUGUGAGAAUUACAUUGCGAAAACUGCUUGGCUAUCGUGCAAAUGUAGAUCAUCGCAAAUUUUCUAAUGAUGCAUUUUUUGUCGAUGCUUGAAACGGAUGAAUUGUUUUUUUAAUGUUGUGUGCGUGUAGUUCCUGGAAGAGUUAGGGUAGC
rnacentral:misc_RNA from 1 species